UACAUAUAAAUUUAGUAUCAAUAUACUCUUAUACUUGUCGUUUAUUAUAAUAUAAUAAAUUGUAUUAUACAGAGUGUUCAGUAAUAAAGACAACAUGUCAGUUAUUACGUACAAUGAAAACAAUAGAAACCCGUUUCCUUACUUACUGAACAUUCUAUAUAGAAAAAGCAUAUUAUGCUUCUUCUAAUAUCUGAAAAACAAUUACAUUAAUGAUUUCUUUGUACUAAUCUUUAAAAAUAAUAAGAUAACGCAAAUCACUAUUCUUUUUUAAUAGUAAUAUCAAAGUCUUAAGACUAUUCUCUACUAAAACAAAUACACCGAACAAUAUCAAAAUUGAUCCUUUAUAAACUUAAAUUAAAUUAAAGUUUAUACCACAAAUUUUGUGGUAUUGACUUUCUUUUGUCUUUUUUAGUUGUUUUAGAGCUGCACUCUAUGUUUUUUUCAAGUUAAAAUGUAGAACAUUCACUUUUAGCUCCGAUUAAAAACUAAAAAUUUAUUAAUUUUACUAUGUGUUUCUUUUUUUUGGACUUACCUUCGUGGUGAAGAUGGCUACCGUCUGCAAAAUGGUACAUAUUAUUGGAUAACUAGCACGAGCGUCCAUUGAAUUCAAGAGGAGAGACACAUCCUCUCUGAAAAAUAUGUGAUCCUCCAGAAUGAAUCUUUAAAAAAAAUUAUGUAUAUAUCGGUUUUAUCAAAAAUAAAACUAAUAUUAUUAUA